rnacentral:rRNA from 1 species
UGGGGAAUAUUGCACAAUGGGGGAAACCCUGAUGCAGCGACGCCGCGUGAACGAAGAAGGUAUUCGUAUCGUAAAGUUCUGUCCUAUGGGAAGAUAAUGACAGUACCAUAGAAGAAAGCUCCGGCUAAAUACGUGCCAGCAGCCGCGGUAAUACGUAUGGAGCGAGCGUUGUCCGGAAUUAUUGGGCGUAAAGGGUACGCAGGCGGUUUAAUAAGUCGAAUGUUAAAGAUCGGGGCUCAACCCCGCAAAGCAUUGGAAACUGAUAAACUUGAGUAGUGGAGAGGAAAGUGGAAUUCCUAGUGUAGUGAUGAAAUACGUAGAUAUUAGGAGGAAUACCAGUAGCGAAGGCGACUUUCUGGACACAAACUGACGCUGGGGUACGAAAGCGUGGGGAGCAAACAGG